UACGAAGGGGGCUAGCGUUGCUCGGAAUUACUGGGCGUAAAGCGCGCGUAGGCGGCUUUGCAAGUCGGAUGUGAAAUCCCCAGGCUUAACCUGGGAACUGCAUUCGAGACUGCAUUGCUAGAGUAUGGGAGAGGGAAGUGGAAUUUCCGGUGUAGCGGUGAAAUGCGUAGAUAUCGGAAGGAGCAUCAGUGGCGAAAGCGAUUUCCUGGACCAAUACUGACGCUCAUGUGCGAAAGCGUGGGGAGCAAACAGG
rnacentral:rRNA from 1 species